UGGAGCAAUCCAUGAGUAAAGUGGCGACCGGGUGAGUAACACGUGACUAACCUACCUCCGAGUGGGGAAUAACUCCGGGAAACCGGGGCUAAUACCGCAUAACAUCGCAAGAUCAAAGCAGCAAUGCGCUUGGAGAGGGGGUCGCGGCUGAUUACCUAGUUGGCGGGGUAACGGCCCACCAAGGCGAAGAUCGGUAUCCGGCCUGAGAGGGCGCACGGACACACUGGAACUGAAACACGGUCCAGACUCCUACGGGAGGCAGCAGUGGGGAAUUUUGCGCAAUGGGGGAAACCCUGACGCAGCAACGCCGCGUGGAGGAUGAAGCCCUUUGGGGCGUAAACUCCUUUCGACUCGGACGAUAAUGACGGUACGAGUGGAAGAAGCACCGGCUAACUCUGUGCCAGCAGCCGCGGUAAUACAGAGGGUGCGAGCGUUGUUCGGAAUUAUUGGGCGUAAAGGGCGCGUANGCGGUGCGGUAAGUCACCUGUGAAAUCUCCC
rnacentral:rRNA from 1 species